AUAGCUGCCCCAUAGCUGCCCCAUAGCUGCCCCAUAGCUGCCCCAUAGCUGCCCCAUAGCUGCCCCAUAGAGACCCCAUAGAGACCCCAUAGCUGCCCCAUAGCUGCCCCAUAGCUGCCCCAUAGAGACCCCACAGCUGCCCCAUAGGGACACCAUAGCUGCCCCAUUGCUGCCCCAUAGCUGCCCCAUAGAGACCCCAUAACUGCCCCAUAGCUGCCCCAUAGAGACCCCAUAGAAACCCCAUAGCUGCCCCAUAGAGACCCCAUAGCUGCCCCAUAGAGACUUCCCCCAUAGUCUCCAUUAGGGUCCCCAUUAGGGUCUCCAAUUGGGUUCCCAUUAGGGUCCCCAUUAGGGUUCCCAUUAGGGUCCCCAUUGGAAUGCUCACUGGGGUCUCCAUUGGGUUCUCCAUUGGGGUCUUUAUUGGGGUCUCAUUGGGGUCCCAUUUGGGGGGUCUCUAUUGGGGUCUCAUUGAGGUCCCAUUGGGGGGGUCUCCAUUGGGGUCUCCAUUAGGGUCUCCAUUGGGGUCUCCAUUGGAGUCCCAUUGGGGUCUCCAUUAGGGUCUCCAUUGGGGUCUCAUUGGGGUCUCCAUUAGGGUCUCCAUUGGAGUCCCAUUGGGGUCUCCAUUAGGGUCUCAUUGGGGUCUCUAUUGGGGUCCCAUUGGGGUCCCAUUGGGGUCCCAUUGGGGUCUCAUUGGGGUCUCCAUUGGGGUCUCAUUGAGGUCUCUAUUGGGGUCUCCAUUAGGGUCUCUAUUGGGGUCUCCAUUAGGGUCUCCAUUAGGGUCUCUAUUGGGGUCCCAUUGGGGUCUCCAUUGGGGUCUCUAUUGGGGUCUCCAUUGGGGUCUCAUUGAGGUCACUAUUAGGAUCUCCAUUAGGGUCUCUAUUGGGGUCUCAUUGGGGUCCCAUUGGGGUCUCCAUUAGGGUCUCUAUUGGGGUCUCUAUUGGGGUCUCCAUUGGGGUCCCAUUGGGGUCCCAUUUGGGGGGUCUCAUUGGGGUCUCAUUGGGGGGGUCUCCAUUGGGGUCUCCAUUGGGGUCCCAUUUGGGGGGUCUCUAUUGGGGUCUCAUUGGGGUCCCAUUGGGGGGGUCUCCAUUAGGGUCUCCAUUGGGGUCUCAUUGGGGUCUCCAUUGGGGUCCCAUUGAGGUCACUAUUAGGGUCUCUAUUGGGGUCCCAUUGGGGUC
rnacentral:lncRNA from 1 species